GGUUGUGGCUCAGUGGUGGAGUGCUUGCCUAGCACGUGUGAGGCACUGGGUUCAAUUCUCAGCACCA
rnacentral:tRNA from 1 species